rfam:Schistosoma mansoni strain Puerto Rico chromosome 2, complete genome
AUCCAGCUGAUGAGUCUCAAAUGGGACGAAACGCGCAUCCUGGAU